UUACGUUUUCUUCAUUUUUUUUCUGGAAUUUUUCUGGGAUUCUUGUUGUUGAAGGUUGAUGGAGAUGAUAUGAAAAUGAAAAAGUGGAGAAG
rfam:Medicago truncatula strain A17 chromosome 7, whole genome shotgun sequence.